rnacentral:rRNA from 1 species
GACGAACGCUGGCGGCGUGCUUAACACAUGCAAGUCGAACGGAAAGGCCCUGCUUUUGUGGGGUGCUCGAGUGGCGAACGGGUGAGUAACACGUGAGUAACCUGCCCUUGACUUUGGGAUAACUUUAGGAAACUGGGGCUAAUACCGGAUAGGAGCUCCUGCCGCAUGGUGGGGGUUGGAAAGUUUCGGCGGUUGGGGAUGGACUCGCGGCUUAUCAGCUUGUUGGUGGGGUAGUGGCUUACCAAGGCUUUGACGGGUAGCCGGCCUGAGAGGGUGACCGGCCACAUUGGGACUGAGAUACGGCCCAGACUCCUACGGGAGGCAGCAGUGGGGAAGAUUGCACAAUGGGCGGAAGCCUGAUGCAGCAACGCCGCGUGCGGGAUGACGGCCUUCGGGUUGUAAACCGCUUUCGCCUGUGACGAAGCGUGAGUGACGGUAAUGGGUAAAGAAGCACCGGCUAACUACGUG